GUUAAAACUUGAUUUUACAUUUACAAAAAUUUGGUUGCAAAUCUUUCUAAAAGGUUAUACUGAUGCUCAUUGUUCUAUUCUUUUAACUCCUCCAGUAUUCUUUUCUUUUUUUUUUUUUAAGAUACAAUAGGCAGCUGUGACUCCUUAGAUAGAAAUACUUACUUUCUAGAGGCUGAAGCCCAAGAUCAAGGUGCCAGCAGGGUCGGUUUGCUGGUGAGACCUCCCUUCCUGGCUUGUAGAUGGCCACCUCCUCUCUGUGCCCUCACACGGCCUCUCCUCUGUGUGUGCACCGUCCUAGUGUCUCCUCCUCUUCUUACAAGGACACGAGCCCCAUCGGAUUGUGGCCCCACCCUUAUGGCCUCAUUGAACCUUAAUUAUCUCCUAAAAGCCCCGUCUCAAACACAGUCUUAGAGACUUCAGGUUCCUUCCAGCCACCGAGUUUCUAUGACAAGCACCGUUUUAAGCACAAGGGUUACAAUCCUAAGCAAACGGAGGCGGCCGGCUAUCAUCCAUCAAGCCCAUGUACACAUGAGGGAGACAGAACAUGGAAAGUAAACAAAUAAAUAAGAUGUCAGAUGGUAUUACAUGCUUUGCAAGACACAACAGUGAGUGUGACUGGGCAGAGCGGGAGCUACUUUAGGAAGCAUUCUGGAGUAUGUGUGAGAGAGCCAGGUGAUGAGAAAGAGAGCCGGGCCAGAGAGAAGAGCAUGCUGGGGGGAGGGAACUGCUGUGCAAAGGCCCUGAGGUAGGAGUGACUGUGGAUGUGCGGUGACUGGCAAGGUGACACGUGGCCUGCACAGAGUGGGGAAGGGGACGCAGGCAGGAAGGGGUGGGUCAGCACCUUGCUGGGGGCGCCCCUGCCUUGGGGGCUCCUCCUCUGUCCUUCCUCUCUCCCUUUACGCCCUCUUUUGGGGUUUCUUUGCGCCUCUCCCAUCUCUAUGGUCUCCCCAUCUCUCCCUGCACCUCUCCAUGACUGUCUUCCUCUGUCUGCGUCUGUCCACCUCCUCUGGGUCUCUCAGAGGCGCAUAUGAACAC